rnacentral:rRNA from 1 species
CAGUCGCCGCGGUAAUACAGAGGGUGCGAGCGUUAAUCGGAUUUACUGGGCGUAAAGCGUGCGUAGGCGGCUUUUUAAGUCGGAUGUGAAAUCCCUGAGCUUAACUUAGGAAUUGCAUUCGAUACUGGGAAGCUAGAGUAUGGGAGAGGAUGGUAGAAUUCCAGGUGUAGCGGUGAAAUGCGUAGAGAUCUGGAGGAAUACCGAUGGCGAAGGCAGCCAUCUGGCCUAAUACUGACGCUGAGGUACGAAAGCAUGGGGAGCAAACAGGAUUAGAUACCCCGGUAGUCCCUGUCUCUAUACA